rnacentral:rRNA from 1 species
CCUACGGGAGGCAGCAGUGGGGAAUCUUGCGCAAUGGGCGAAAGCCUGACGCAGCCAUGCCGCGUGAAUGAUGAAGGUCUUAGGAUUGUAAAAUUCUUUCACCGGGGACGAUAAUGACGGUACCCGGAGAAGAAGCCCCGGCUAACUUCGUGCCAGCAGCCGCGGUAAUACGAAGGGGGCUAGCGUUGCUCGGAAUUACUGGGCGUAAAGGGAGCGUAGGCGGACAUUUAAGUCAGGGGUGAAAUCCCAGAGCUCAACUCUGGAACUGCCUUUGAUACUGGGUGUCUUGAGUGUGAUAGAGGUAUGUGGAACUCCGAGUGUAGAGGUGAAAUUCGUAGAUAUUCGGAAGAACACCAGUGGCGAAGGCGACAUACUGGAUCAUUACUGACGCUGAGGCUCGAAAGCGUGGGGAGCAAACAGGAUUAGAUACCCUGGUAGUCCACGCCGUAAACGAUGAUUGCUAGUUGUUGGGAUGUUUACAUCUCGGUGACGCAGCUACGACAUAAGACAAUCCGCCGUCGGGAGGUACGGUCGCGAGAAUUAAACUACAAGAAGUAGUAGCGNGAGAGNGCGACGACGACGACGAGGGAGGAGGAG